rnacentral:rRNA from 1 species
GAUGAACGCUGGCGGCGUGCCUAAUACAUGCAAGUCGAGCGAACAGACGAGGAGCUUGCUCCUCUGACGUUAGCGGCGGACGGGUGAGUAACACGUGGAUAACCUACCUAUAAGACUGGGAUAACUUCGGGAAACCGGAGCUAAUACCGGAUAAUAUAUUUAACCGCAUGGUUCAAUAGUGAAAUACGGUUUUGCUGUCACUUAUAGAUGGAUCCGCGCCGCAUUAGCUAGUUGGUAAGGUAACGGCUUACCAAGGCAACGAUGCGUAGCCGACCUGAGAGGGUGAUCGGCCACACUGGAACUGAGACACGGUCCAGACUCCUACGGGAGGCAGCAGUAGGGAAUCUUCCGCAAUGGGCGAAAGCCUGACGGAGCAACGCCGCGUGAGUGAUGAAGGUCUUCGGAUCGUAAAACUCUGUUAUUAGGGAAGAACAAAUGUGUAAGUAACUAUGCACGUCUUGACGGUACCUAAUCAGAAAGCCACGGCUAACUACGUG